UUCCUAGUGGCUCAGAUGGUAAAGAAUCUGCCUGCAAUGCAGGAGACACAGGUUCGAUCCCUGGCUUGGGAA
rnacentral:tRNA from 1 species